rnacentral:misc_RNA from 1 species
GGCGUAGGUAGGUGUGCUGAG